rnacentral:lncRNA from 1 species
CUUCUCGCCCUUUCAUGCCCCAUAGUUUGCUCUUGACUCGACCAACACCCUAUAAGAAACCCCUUCACAAUUCACAACUUCAUCUUCCCAUUGCAACAUUUUCUUCUCAAGGAAAAAAACCCACCAAAAAAAAAUAUAUAUUCCUUUUUCAAGAAAAUUUUCCUUAAUUUCAUCAAAAGAAUCAUCAGACAAUAUGAAGAUGAUGAGUGGAAUGAGCAUUGGAAACUCAAAGAGAAGAAUAUCUAGCAGAGGAAUUGGUGGGGUACUCAGAGAACAAAGAGCUAAGAUUUACAUUAUAAGAAGAUGUGUGGUUAUGCUUCUUUGCUGGCAUGAUUGAGUUCGAUCGAUCCUUCAGACGGCUAUGGCUCGAUUUGAGACAUUGGACGAAGACGAAAUAAUUUCAACUCACUACCGGAUUAGGCGUCAAGUCGAUUUUUUCCUCUCAUCUUUGCUGACAUGAUUAAGUUUGAUGACCUUCGCCGACCGUAGCUCGAUUCGAGACAUUGGACGAGGAUGUACAAUUUUAAUUCACCACCGGAAUAAGCAUAGAAGCAGCCUUUUUCACCCCCUCUCUUAUUAGAGUGUAUAUGUAUAGAGACGGCUGAUAUUAUAUUAUUUAAGUUAACAAUUACUUUGAUUCAUUCUUCUUUUUAUAUCUUCUCUCUAUUCAAUUUUCUUUUCAAUUCUGAUAUGG